rnacentral:tRNA from 1 species
AUUCACAUAGUUUAAUUAAAACAUUUCUUUUUCAAUGAAAAGAUGGUAAAUUAUACCUUUGAAUA